CCGUUUCUGUCCCAUGCUGAUGACGUAACAGAUAUGUUCGAGAGGCGUUCUCUGACCCAUGUAAACUAUAGACAAAUGCGAACGGUCUUCUAACACAUUACACUGCCAGUAAGCUCGAGGAAAUGAAGCCCUGUACUUGGUCCCUCCCGGCCGCAUGAUGACGUUGUCCUGCUGACACUACGGAUGUGGCCCUCAUUGCUGGAAUCUAUUUUUAGAUCCAGCCUCAAGGGCCAGACAGACAAACAGGGCAAACUGUCACUCAGACCACCUGCCACAGUUAGGCAAGCAGCCAAGGCAUGCUGGCUGUGCGAGACUGAAAAAAGAAUAAGAGUACUGCAGUUGUGACCUUCAUCAGAGGCUUCAACUUCCUGAGAAUUUUGUUUAGGUUGAUAGAAAUAUCUCAGUGUCCCUGGUGACCUCUGUAUUGUUGGAGCUACGUGAAGGGGAGGAAAAUAGAAGCACAUAUGUAUCACUCAUGGGCAGGACAGUAUAGCUGCAGCCGAGGACAGUGGGUAUCAUAUCCUCACUAUUGUUUCAUGGAAUGUAGGGAUUUUAGGAAUUCCACUAAAUUCACACAUAAAGGUCAUUUUAUUCAUCACAAGGUAGUACUCGCCCUGUUGGAGUACUUGUACAAUGUCUUAUGUGCUGCUGAAUUUAAAGCUGAGAAUAAAAUCAAGAUGAUGUUGUCAGGUCAAACUGA